rnacentral:lncRNA from 1 species
UUUUCAGACAGGGUCUCACUCCGUCACCCAGGCUGGAGUACAGUGGCACAAUCUCGGUUCUCUGCAACCUCCAUCGCCCAGGCUCAAGUGAUCCCCCCACCUCAACCUCCCAAGUAGCUGGGAUUACAAGCCUGCACCUCUAUGCCCAGCUAAUUUUUGUGUUUUUAGUAGAGACAAGGUUUUGCCAUGUUGGCCAGGCUGGUCUCGAACUCCUGACCUCAGGUGAUCCAAAAGCCUUGGCCUCCCCAAGUGCUGGGAUUACAGGCUUGAGCCACCACACCUGGCCAAUUAUUUUAUUAAGCCAGAUGAAUCUAGCUCUGGACAGUUAUAAGCAAAGAAAAACUAACGGAAAAAUACAGAGGCCUGAAGAAUCACAGAGGGAAACUCAUUUGUUCCUCUGGCAGCUCUCCCCAAGGACACCUGUGAGACAAAGUCAGAAGUGGCUUCCCUGGUGACCCAGAGAGACCACAGGGCUCUUGCCGCUGCUUCCUCUACUCCCGUAUUUUGCCGAGCUCUCUAAAUUGUCUCAGCUCUAGCCUGAAUCUAUGGUUUCAUGGAGAGCUCCCUAAAAUCUGUUGACAGAGGAAGAGAAGACUUGAACCUGGUUUACAGAUGGUACUGCACAAUAUGCAGGAACCACAUGAAAGCAGGCAGUUGAAGCACUGCAGCCUCUCUCUGGGACAUCUCCUAAGAAAAAUGAGGGAGCAUCCUCCCAUCCUCCAGUCACAGAGAAAAAAGCCAUGUGAGGACACAGUGAGAAGCUGCUAUCUGCAAGCUGAGAAGAGAAACAUCACUAGAAACCAUCCCUGCUGGCACUUGAUCUUGACUUUCAGCUUUCAGAACUUUGAGAAAAUAAAUGUGUGUCGCUUAAGCCAGUUCAUCUUUAGUUAUUUUGUUAUGUCAGCCUGAGCAGAAUUAGACAAAUACUAAUAGUAAACUAUAAGGUAAACUGUAGGCUUUGGGUAAUGACGUGUCAAUAGAUUUAUCAAUUGUAACAAAUGUAUCACUGUGAUGUGGGACAUUGAUAGAGCAGGAUGUUGUGCAUGUGUGGGCUGUGUGGGAGCAAAUCAUAUAUGGGAAUUCUCUUAACAUUCUAUUGAAUUUUUCUAAGAACUUACAACUGAUCUAAAAAUAAAGUCUGUUUUUUUAAAAAAUAAUUGAUUUUCCGUCAUAUUAACAGAAUAAAGAAAAAAAUCACAUAGUCAUGUCAAUUUCUGCAGAAAAAUCAAUUGAUAAAAUUCAACUUUUAUUUAUAAUAAAACUUCUUAGCAC